rnacentral:rRNA from 1 species
GCCCACAGCAACAUCACCCUGCAACUCACAGCAGGCAGCCCACUGAAGCUCAGCAGGUGUGAGCCUGAUCAGUACCAGGAUGGGAGACCUCCUGGGGAAAACUAAGGUUGCUGCUGGAA